AUUUUACAGCUAUAAAGUUUUAUUAAAUUUUUAAUGGGUGAAACUUUAAAUGCUGUUUAGCUGGGGCGGCGUGAAUAUAAAAUUUAUCUGUUCUUAUGUUUGCUGUACUUUAUAAUUAAUUUUAAAUCCUUAAAAUGUGAAAUUAGAAUAAAUU
rnacentral:rRNA from 1 species